rnacentral:lncRNA from 1 species
UCAUCCAAAUAACAGACAACAAAAUUUUCUAAAAAUUUUCAAAAAACAUCAUUCAUUAGAUGUUAAAAAGCUAUCGGUGCAUGACAUUUGUUGUUGUCAUUUUACUUACUCUACAAAUUCUUUUCAGAAUAAACCUGUAGUAGGGAAUUUGAACACAAGAAAAGACAAACUGCAUGAACUUACACAUUAGAGUCACAUAAUUAACCAUAUUCCAAACCACUAAAAUACCAAAGAAUACUACAAUCCUUUCUCCCACUAAUAAUUCUCCCAUCAACUAAUAACAACAAUUUACAAUCCUGCACUCUCAAAAGACUAUUCAAAAUACACAAAUUCCAUCCAAUAUCAGAAAUAAUAAUCUUCUCCUCCAAUUAAUCUUGAUUUGUACAAUUUUUGUAAUCACAAACUUCUGUUGUCGAAACACAUACAACUCUCAAUUGACAACAAUCAUAAUCUUUCAUCCAAAAUCAAUCUUCCAUAGAAUCUGAUAAUUUUUUUUUAAUAUCUUCUCAUAAUAAUUCAAUCACACAGUACUGCAAUUACAUAAUCAAUAUUUCAUAAAUCAAUCUUUGAUUUAUUCUACAGAUUCACUUCAUAAUAUCAAAAAUUAUCCAUUACUCUUCAACUACAAAAAAAACAAAGAGAACAAAGAGGUAGCACCAAGCUUAUCCCGGCUCAUGACUAUAACAAUCUAGCUCCUCCAAUAUCUUCUUCAACUUACUUAAGCUUUACUUUUGAAAUUCUACAUUCUAACUGUUAUUUCUUAUUUAACCCCUUUUUCAUACUAAUUUAAUCAUUCGACCUUCUAAAUUAAUAA